CUGGCCCUGAAUCAAGGCCCGCAGCUUCCUGAUGCUGUUGGUUUCAAGCAGGAGCCUAAAGAGAUGUCUUUCUAUGGUCUGUUGGCCUUUUCAGAACUUGGGCAGUGAAAUGGUCAAUUCAUUAGAAAGAAACAGCU
ensembl:snoRNA